rnacentral:lncRNA from 1 species
AUAGUGGGCAUCAGGAGGCCCAGAAGGAUCGAGAAGGAUGCCCAUGAUCACACCGCCAAAAUGUCUCAACUAGUGUCGAUUUUGCUCCUUAAAGCAUCCCAAAUUCACAGCACUAGCCAGUCUACCUCUAACCCUUAGGUUCUGGACUGGUCUAUUAUAAAUCAAGCCCUUACCUGCUGAGCACAUGCCUAGCACUUGGGCUGUAGAGAAAGGAGGCCCGCAUGGGAGAUCUGAACUGUCUUAAAAGACCACCAUCACCAGAAGAAGAAAGUAGAGAAAGGAUUAGGAGAGAAGGGAGAUGGGGAGGGAGAGGAGGGGAGAAAGGAAGAAUAUAUGAAUCUGGGCCCUUCACAGUGGCUCUCAUCUCUAAUCUGGACACUUGAGAGGCUGAGGCAGGAGGAUUACCAUGAGUUUGAAACCAGCUUCUCUUACACAGCAAGAAUCUAUCUCAGCAAACAAAACACUACCAAAUAUAUGCAAGCACAUUUUUUUCUCCCAAAGGAAGGAAAGAGAGAAUUCUAUUUCAAGAUCUAAACCUGUGCUCAACCCAAACCUUAACCUUGCACCAUACCUAACUCCCAAAUUAAUCUUGAUCUUGGCUUCUGCUGUGUCCCCAAACUUCUCUAGCAUGAUCUCACUGUUCCUUCUUCCCAGGCUGCCUCUGCCUCUGCAGCUGUUUCAAGCUGUGUCUUCGUGUACGUGCAUACUCGGGUCAGAAUGUCCUGGUCCCAAAGCCAUCUAGCAAAACCUUUCACCUCCCAAGGCCAAUCAUAAGCCCUCUGUGUUCUGCUCCCAGCCUGAGCCACCCCGUUCCCUGGCCAGGUGGGCUCUUUUCCGGUUUCUGAAGUUAUAGAAGAAAGCCCUGGACUCUGGGGGCAAAACUGCAAGUACAAUUACUAAGUGUGAAUGAGAGAAUAGGAGAAUGGGGAAGUAAAUGAAUGAGAGAAUAAAUGAGUAAAUGAAUUAUUAAUUAAGCCAAUAAAUAGAUUUUUCUGAGGGCAAAUUUCAAUGCCCAGUCUGGAUCCCGU